GACGAACGCUGGCGGCGUGCUUAACACGUGCAAGUCGAACGGAAAGGCCCUGCUUUUGUGGGGUUCUCGAGUGGCGAACGGGUGAGUAACACGUGAGUAACCUGCCCUUGACUUUGGGAUAACUUCAGGAAACUGGGGCUAAUACCGGAUAGGAGCUCCUGCUGCAUGGUGGGGGGUGGAAAGUUUCGGCGGGUGGGGAUGGACUCGCGGCUUAUCAGCUUGUUGGUGGGGUAGUGGCUUACCAAGUCUUUGACGGGUAGCCGGCCUGGGAGGGUGACCGGCGACAUGGGUCCUGAGAUACGGCCCAGACGCCUACGGGAGGCAGCAGUGGGGAAUAUUGCACAAUGGGCGGAAGCCUGAUGCAGCAACGCCGCGUGCGGGAUGACGGCCUUCGGGUUGUAAACCGCUUUCGCCUGUGACGAAGCGGUAGUGACGGUAAUGGGUAAAGAAGCACCGGCUAACUACGUG
rnacentral:rRNA from 1 species